rnacentral:rRNA from 1 species
UAGGGAAUCUUCGGCAAUGGACGAAAGUCUGACCGAGCAACGCCGCGUGAGUGAAGAAGGUUUUCGGAUCGUAAAACUCUGUUGUUAGAGAAGAACAAGGACGUUAGUAACUGAACGUCCCCUGACGGUAUCUAACCAGAAAGCCACGGCUAACUACGUGCCAGCAGCCGCGGUAAUACGUAGGUGGCAAGCGUUGUCCGGAUUUAUUGGGCGUAAAGCGAGCGCAGGCGGUUUCUUAAGUCUGAUGUGAAAGCCCCCGGCUCAACCGGGGAGGGUCAUUGGAAACUGGGAGACUUGAGUGCAGAAGAGGAGAGAGGAAUUCCAUGUGUAGCGGUGAAAUGCGUAGAUAUAUGGAGGAACACCAGUGGCGAAGGCGGCUCGCUGGUCUGUAACUGACGCUGAGGCUCGAAAGCGUGGGGAGUAAACAGG